AUUGAACGCUGGCGGCGUGCUUAACACAUGCAAGUCGAUCGGUAACAGGUGUAGCAAUACAUGCUGACGAGAGGCGGACGGGUGAGGAAUAUUUGGGAAUCUGCCCAUCAGCGGGGGACAACCCGGGGAAACCCGGGCUAAUACCGCAUACGCUCUACGGAGGAAAGCCGGGGACCGCAAGGCCUGGCACUGAUGGAUGAGCCCAAAUCGGAUUAGCUAGUUGGCGGGGUAACGGCCCACCAAGGCGACGAUCCGUAGCUGGUCUGAGAGGACGAUCCGGCAAGCCGGAAAUGAGACACGGUCCGGACUCCUGCGGGAGGCAGCAGUGGGGAAUAUUGGACAAUGGGGGAGACCCUGAUCCAGCGACGCCGCGUGGGUGAAGAAGGCCUGCGGGUUGUAAAGCCCUUUCGGUAGGGACGAAAGCUCUUGCUCUAAUAAUGCAAGAGGUUGACUUAACCUACAUAAGAAGCACCGGCUAACUCUGUGCCAGCCGCCGCGGUAA
rnacentral:rRNA from 1 species